GUACAUAAUAGUUGUGGUAUGAUGGCUCCCAUAGAACGACCUACGAAUGAGACAAUCCAGCAACUUAGAAGUCAAGAUCCUACGAAUUGGAAUGGUACAAUACCGCAUUUGAUCUUCCACUUGAGUCUGUGAUGAAUUCAUGUAGUAAGGUGUCACGUCAACCUCUCCACUGGGAAAGAUCAAGAUAAGAAAACUCACCAUCUACAAGGAAGAAGAGGUACGUGUGGAAUGAAGGGAGAAGGAAGGCAAUCGCAACAACUCGGAGUGUAUAAAACUAUUCAAGUAUCUAAUGUCGCGGGUUGCUUUCCCUCUUCUGUUACACGAGAUGGAUAUAGGCUUGCAU
rnacentral:lncRNA from 1 species